AUUGAACGCUGGCGGCAGGCUUAACACAUGCAAGUCGAGCGGAGAUGAGGUGCUUGCACCUUAUCUUAGCGGCGGACGGGUGAGUAAUGCUUAGGGAUCUGCCUAUUACAGGGGGACAACAUUCCGAAAGGAAUGCUAAUACCGCAUACGCACUACGGGGGAACGAAGGGGAUCUUCGGACCUUGCGCUAAUAGAUGAGGAGAAGUCGGAUUAGCUAGUUGGUGGGGUAAAGGCCUACCAAGGCGACGAUCUGUAGCGGGCCUGAGAGGAUGAUCCGCCACACUGGGACUGAGACACGGCCCAGACUCCUACGGGAGGCAGCAGUGGGGAAUAUUGGACAAUGGGCGGAAGCCUGAUCCAGCCAUGCCGCGUGUGUGAAGAAGGCCUUUUGGUUGUAAAGCACUUUAAGCGAGGAGGAGGCUACCUGGAUUAAUACUCUAGGAUAGUGGACGUUACUCGCAGAAUAAGCACCGGCUAACUCUGUGCCAGCCGCCGCCGUAACAC
rnacentral:rRNA from 1 species